UACGUAGGGUGCGAGCGUUGUCCGGAAUUAUUGGGCGUAAAGAGCUCGUAGGCGGUGUGUCACGUCGGCCGUGAAAACCUGCAGCUUAACUGUGGGCGUGCGGUCGAUACGGGCAUCACUGGAGUUCGGCAGGGGAGAACGGAAUUCCUGGUGUAGCGGUGAAAUGCGCAGAUAUCAGGAGGAACACCGGUGGGCGAAGGCGGUUCUCUGGGCAUGUCCUGACGGCUGAGGAGCGAAAGUGUGGGGAGCGAACAGG
rnacentral:rRNA from 1 species